CGAUUCCAGUCGCCCCGAAUGACGUCACCACGUUGCGGAGCGUCGGAGCGUACCUGGCAGGAAACACGGCGCCUAAGCAGCUCAAACGCUCAAAAGUUUGGUUAUACUUUACCAGAACGGAUGACAACAGGGCAACUUGCAAUACUUGCAAAGUAGAUAUUUCAUUUAAGGGAGGAAACACUACGAAUAUGCAAAAGCAUUUGCUCACAAAACACGCGAUGAACUUAAAUGAAUGUCGUGUUUUUAAUUCCGCUCCGGACUCGUGAAUCUCAACCCAGCAGCAGCGGUAACGUUUGCAUGUCAUCUCCCGUUAAUGCGGCAGGUGACCGUGAUGAGAGAGACAGACAGUCUGGCUGGCGCUCGCUGGCAGUUGUCGCUGCAGUCCACCGGUAGCGUCUCUUUUCAGGCCCGAAUGUCACCGAGCAGUGACUAAGUUUGUGGUCAAAACCUUGCAGCCAUUUGCCACAGCAGAUGGUAAGUGAAUGUGUUUAAUUGUAGGCAGGGACAUUACUGAAUAUUCUUGUGUAAUUGCUACAGAAUAAUUUAUGUUAUACUUUGUUAUUGCUACAGAAGAAUAUUUAUUUUAUUAUUUUACAUUUACAAUUUUCCCCGGGGACCCUGUGACACCCCAUUGAAGAGCCGUAGGCUGUGGAUCUCUUAAGAUCUCACUGUUGGGUUUAUAAGGCCAUGUUACUCCUAAAUUUCUAUCUUGUUCAAAGAGAAGAUAUAAAACAAAGUUCUAAGCUAAUCGACCUUAGUGUUCUCCUUUUUAAAAAUAAGAAUCGAUAAGAGAAUCGAUAAAGAAUCGAAUCGUUAAACAGAAUCGAAAAUGGAAUCGGAAUCGUUAAAAUCUUAUCAAUACCCAUCCCUAGUCAUAGGGUCACAAGACUGCUCCAGUGGGAAAUCUCCCGUGGGGCAUUCCACCGGAGGCGGAGGCACCUCUGAAGAGGGCCCCGCCACCGCCUCCCACCCAGAGUUGGUGUUGGACGACUCUGCGUCACCGCCGAACGCCGCACAGACAGUACAUGCGUCUACUGGUUGCGAAAGCAUCCCCACAUACCGCCACAACAAGCUAUGAAACCCCGGCCAAUUGGUACCUAGAAUCAGGGGAUAUGAAAGGCGGUUUAUGGCUUCUGCCCAGGACACAGGUACUCUUCUGCAACCAUCACUCCCCUGCUACAUCUCACUGCAAGACAAAGUCAUCAAUCCAGUUCAGCACACCUGCUGUUCCCCCGCCUCCAUGCCGCCCUGUGAGCUCACUGCGUCACCCCUCCUCAGCAGCAGGCUAAAGACCACACCUCUGCCAAAGAGGGGUUUCCAAGUGAGCGUCCGGGUGAGGAGUGGAUGAGUGGAUUCCAACCCGAGUUCUAGUGUUCCAAAAGAGUCGGCUGGCAGGAGGACAAGCAGGCGAGGACCAGAGGAGUGAGUUGCGGGAAAAAGUGAGAAUCUUUGUUACUGAGACCCAACGUCCAGAGAGGAAGGUUGCAGGUGUGUGUGGAGACUUGGCAUGGCUGCUUGACGCGAGAAGAGAACAAGUUCAAACAGAAGCUGAAGAAUAACGGUGUGAAAGGAGGCAUCGAACUGAGCUGGAGGAAGCAGUCAGACGGGGAGGUCUUCCACAGGGAUGAAAAGGAAACAAAGAACACAGCCUGAAAUAACGAGUUUUAAAUGUUGAUCAGGGCGCGUGUAUUGUUUUUGUUUUGUUAUUUUCAGCGCAUUGUGUUCUGCGUCCUGAUUGGCUGUAGACCAUUGUCAAUCAAUCUCGUGCCCUGUCUCCUGUACAGUACAGAAUGCGUUCAGCUUGUCAAAUUUACAUAAAUCUUCGAUCACUAGCAGUGUGACUCUGAAGUGCUGCGCUGUAUGUUUGUACGUUUCUCCCUAACAAACAAGAAUGUCAGCCAAACGUUUUGCACCACCAAAGGCAACCACAGGUGCCUUUGGUUUCAUUCUAUAAUACUGGCCUUAUUUUUCUAUGAAGGUUUGAACUUUGAGUGUUUAAACAAGAGAGAAGUGUGAAAAUGUUCAUGCCUGUCUGAGAAAAGUGUAUAAAGUGUGUAGUGAAGAGUUUUACAGCCUUAAAACAUCUAUAAUAAUUGUAAAAAAAUUAAGUUGUCUACUUCGCAGAUUUCACCUAUCGCGGGUUAAUUUUAGAACGCAACUCCUGCGAGGGACCACUGUACUGUUAUUUUACAUUUAGGGGAUUGAUUUUUUUGUGUCUGUCUGGAUUCAUCAUUUGAUAUCUUUAUUCUGGUAGAUUGCAAUCUGUGUUUAUUAUGACAUCACUGAGACUUUAACUUUUGUUUUCCUGUGUUCUGGUUUAUGUCUGUUAGUAGGAGUUUUUAGUUUCUUACAGGUAUCUGUGACUGUUCCUCCCUCAGUCUCAUGUCUGUGUUCAUAUCUCAGCACUCCGGUGUUCUCUACUCAGGCAUCUUAUUAAGUGUUAGGAAAUAGACAAGAGAACUAACACAGACCUGUAUACUGUUUAAAAUUGAAAAAAAAUUAAAGUUGAUUUUUUUUAAAUGUUUUGUUAGUUUCACUUCCUGCUGUUUGGUUACUCUGACUGUAUUCACACUCAGCGUCUG
ensembl:lncRNA